rnacentral:sRNA from 13 species
AACUAAAAGACCCAAUACAUGUUUUAAUUAAAACAAAGUCGCGCGCACAACUGGAAGUUGCUUUGAAAUUGUUUGAAACAAGAUGUUACUCGGAUUGAAUGGUUUAGAAAGGGGAGUAACUAGAUCUAGGAUAUAAGCCAAUAUAAGGUAAAGUAAAAUCUACUCAUCAGACAUCACAAGGGGGAAGUAACUCGUGUUUAUAAUAUUUUUGAACGACUCCGUUUGUUACAAAGUUUUUGAGAACCAUCAUGUCAUUCUCUAUGGCUCAGUCUCGAAGUUUGUUUUACUUGACCCUGGUCGUAGUAAUAUUUGUGCUGUUGGGAUUGUACUCUUACAAGGGAGGAGGGACAUUGGUGAACUCAGUGCGUGGACAACAGGAUGUAGAUCACAAGUGCUCAGAUCUUUGCCCAAACGAUUCUCACCAGCUGAGGGCCAGCUCUUCCAAACAAGAACCAGGAGGGAGACUAGAAUGGAAAGACCGACUGGGCUCCCUGCCUAAAGUGGUCAACGUUAUACCAGCAGUGAAAGACGUUGAGAAGGAAUAUGAACACUGCGUACCUUUGCCCCAGUCGCCAAAACAAGGUGUCCGAAUUUGUGUGCAUGACCCGAAACGGGACGCUAUAGUUAGUGGGCAUUUGGCAG